GUCGCUACUACCGAUUGAAUGGCUUAGUGAGGUCUUCGGAUCGGCUUUGGGGAGCCGGAAACGGCACCCUAUUGCUGAGAAGUUGAUCAAACUUGGUCAUUUAGAGGAAGUAAAAGUCGUAACAAGGUUUCC
rnacentral:rRNA from 1 species